rnacentral:lncRNA from 10 species
CACAAAAUCAUCUAGUAUCAUGCAGAAAAAAUGUCUAAAGAACCAAAACAGAUUCAAUGCAGUGACGGCAGAAAGUGUAUGGGCAUGAAGAUUCAAAGAAAAAGAUGCGGCCGUUGAAAGAUUUAUAUGCUCCUUUGCUCCAGGUACCUGAACCACUAAGGCCAGUUUCACCAAAUUCAUUUAGUCCAGAAGCACCAACACCAAGUUCAUCUGCACUCUUACCUCCUCCACCACUUCCAGAAUCAGAAGACCAAGUGUUUCCUCCUAAUGGAAAUCAAAAUGUAUUGAAGAUUUGUGGCAACCCUGUGACUACCAACUCUAUUGAAACCAUUUCUCCAAUAGCAUGAGCUCACUUCAGGUCUUUGUAUCACAUUUUCAUAAUUCUCACAAUAUUUCAAAUUUAUUAUUAUUAUUAUACCUGUUAUGGUGAUCUGUGAUCAGUGAUUUUUGAUAUCACUCUUGUAAUUGUUUUGAGGCAUCACCCACACUCAAUAAGAUGGCAAGCUUAAUAUAUGCUUAUGUUCUGACCUUUCUACCAACAGGUCAUUGCCCCCAUCUCUCUCCCUCUCUUUGGGCCUCCCUUUUCCCUGAGACACAAUAAUAUUGAAAUUAGGCUAAUUAAUAACCCUACAAUGGCCUCUAAGUGUUCAAGUGAAGAGUGACAGAUCUUGCAUUUAAUAUCAAAAAGUUCGAAAUGAUUAAGCUUAGUGAGGAAGGCAUGUGGAAAGCCAAGAUAGGCUGAAAGCUCAGUCUUUUGUGCUGAACACAUAGCCAAUUUGUGAAUGCAAAAGAAAAGUUCUUGAAGGAAAUUAAAAGUGCUACUCCAGCGAACACAUGAAUGAUAAGAAAGCCAAACAGCCUUAUUUCUGAUAUGGAGAAAGUUUGAAUGGCCUGGAAAGAUCAAGCCAGCCACAAUAUUCCCUUAAGCCAAACUGUAAUCCAGAAAAAGGCUUUAACUCUCUUCAGUUGUCUGAAGGCUGAGAGAGGUAAGGGAGCUACAGAAGAGAAGUUUUAAGUUGGCGGAGGUUAGCUCAUUAAAUUUAAGGAAACAAGUUGUCUCCAUACUAUGAAAGUGCAAAAUGAAGUAGCAAGGGCUGAUGGAGAAGCUGCAGCAAGUUCAGAACAGAAGAUCUAGCUAAGAUAAUUCAUGAAGAUGGCUGCAUUGAACAAUAGAUUUUCAUUGUAAACAAAACAGCUUUUGAUUGGAAGAAGAUGACAUCUAGGACUUUAAUAGCUAGAGAGGAGAAGUCAAUGCCUGGUUUCCAAGCUUCAAAGGACAGGCUGAUUCUCUUUUUAGGGUCUAAUGCAGCUUCUGACUUGAGGUUAAAACCACUGGUAAUUGACCAUUCUGAAAGUCCUAGGUCCCUUAAGAAUUAUGCUAAAUCUACUCUGCCCAUGCUCUAAAUAUUGAAUAACUCAGCCUGCAUGACAGCACAUCUGUGUACAACAGGGCUUACUGAAUAUUUUAAGCCCGUUGCUGAGAGCUACUGCUCAGUAUAAAAGACUCCUUUCAAAAUAUUACUGCUCAUUGACAAGAGUUCAAGAGCUCUGAUGGAGAUGUACCUGGAGAUUAAUGUUGUUUUCAGGCAGCUAACACAACAUCCAUUCUGCAGCCAACAGGUAAAGGAGUAAUUUUGACUUUCAUGUCUUCUUAUUGAAGAAAUAAAUACAUUUCAUAAGGUUAUAGUUGCCGUAAAUAAUGAUGCCCCUGAUGAAUAUAGUCAAAGUAAACUGAAAAUCCUCUGGAAAGGAUUCACCUUUCUAGAUGCACAUUCAUGAUUCAUGAGAGGAAGCCAAAAUAUCAACAUUAAAAUAAUUUGGAAGAAGCUGACUUGUAGAAGUUCAAGACUUCAGUAGAAGAAGUAACUGUCGAUGUGGUAGAGAGAGCAAGAGAACUAGAAUUAGAAGUGGAGCCUGAAGAUGUGACCGAAUUGCUGCAAUCUCAUGAGAAAACUUGAACAGAUGACGAGUUGCCCCUUAUGAAUGAGCAAAGAAAGUGAUUUCUUCAAUUGAAAUCUACUUCUGGUGAAGAUGCUGUGAACAUUGUUGAAAUGACAACAAAGGAUUUAGAAGAGUAGACAAAGAUAGAUGCUAAAGCGGUAGCAGGAUUUAAGAAAACUGACUCCAACUUUGAAAGAAGUUCUACUGUGGGUAAAAUGCUAUCAAGCAGCAUUGCAUGCUACAAAGAAAUCGUUCAUGAAAUGAAGAGUCUAUCAAUGUGGCAAAUGCCAUAGCUUUCUUAUUUUGAGAAAUUGCCACAGCACCCCCACCACCUUCAGCAGCCACCACAUUGGGUACUCAGCAGCAGUCAACAUCAAACCAGCAAAAAGAUUACAACUCACUGAAAACUCAUAUGAUCAUAGCAUUUUUUAGCAAUAAAGUAU